CUUUUUAUAACCAAUUUUAUUUGCUAAUUGAAAAUUAAGCGGAAUAAAAUAAUUUAAGACAGCAGAGAAGAUAAUUCUGUUUUAAUUGGUUAUUACUAACCGACUUAAAUAAAAGAGUGAGCUAUUAAUACUGUAAAUGUAUGAUGUCUCUAGUCUGGCCAAAGGGUCAGAGUGUCCUACUUAAUUAAACGAUAAAUUGUUGAAAUUAGAUAACAUGUUUUCACGUGCAGAGAAAUUUCACUUAUGACCAAUGCAUCUUUCUUAUUGGUUAAUGAUCUUGCGGGUCAGUACGAGUUCACGUGUAAGUGUAUUGUGGUCACUUCCUUUUAUCAUCAGCAUUUGAUGUGUUAACUUGUGAUUCUUAUCAAACAAUUUGUUCAAAAUUAUAUGUGAUUUUGUUUUUUGUUUUAUGGAUAAUUUUGGACUGGAGUGAUUUCAUUUUAGCUAUUUCAGGUAAAAUCGAACUAUACUUUUAUUUUUAAGCUAUUCUAUGCUUACAUUUUGA
rnacentral:lncRNA from 1 species